rnacentral:rRNA from 1 species
UACAGAGAUGGCAAGCGUUGUUCGGAAUCACUGGGCUUAAAGCGCGUGUAGGCGGAGCGAUAGGCGCCUUGUGAAAUCCCUCGGCUCAACCGAGGAACUGCUUGGCGAACCGGCGCUCUUGAGGCAGGUAGAGGUCACUGGAACCAUAGGUGGAGCGGUGAAAUGCGUAGAGAUCUAUGGGAACGCCGGUGGCGAAAGCGAGUGACUGGGCCUGUUCUGACGCUGAGACGCGAAAGCGUGGGUAGCAAACAGG